GACGGAGGAUGCAAGCGUUAUCCGGAAUGAUUGGGCGUAAAGCGUCCGCAGGUGGCAGUUCAAGUCUGCUGUCAAAGACCGGGGCUUAACUUCGGAAAGGCAGUGGAAACUGAACAGCUAGAGCAUGGUAGGGGCAGAGGGAAUUCCUGGUGUAGCGGUGAAAUGCGUAGAGAUCAGGAAGAACAUCGGUGGCGAAGGCGCUCUGCUGGACCAUAACUGACACUCAGGGACGAAAGCUAGGGGAGCGAAUGGG
rnacentral:rRNA from 1 species